UAAAUUUAAGGGAAAACUUCAAAAACCCCCCUGUGGUUUCGUGCAUUCUCACUUUGCUACCCUGUGGUUUAAAACGUAUCAAUUUGCUCCCCUGUGGUUUCGUUUUUAUCUUUUUGUUAUCAAUUUUAUUAUUAUUAUUUUUUUUAAAUCAGUGACAAAGUUAAAAUUAAAGGAUACUAAAGUGACUAUUCGAUAAAUAUAGAUGGUUAUCUGAAGUUUUUUGUAUAUAAUUUAACAAAAUAUUAACGAAAAAGCUUCCGAAAAGAUAAAAAUGAAACCACAGGGGGGUAAGUUGAUACGUUUUAAACCACAGGGUAGCAAAGUGAGAAUGCACGAAACCACAGGGGGGGUUUUUGAAGUUUUCC
rnacentral:lncRNA from 1 species